rnacentral:lncRNA from 1 species
AGCUCUGAUUCAACCCCUAGCCUGAGAACCUCCAUAUGCCAUGGGAGCAGCCCUAGAAAAAAACAAACAAAAAAACCCAUCCUAAUCAACUUGAGAGUUUUUUACUUCUCUAGGAUGUUACAUUUCCUCCAAAGUCUAGUUCUUUCUUUUACUGCUGUAUUAAGGAAAAUCUCGCAAUUCUAUUAUCACCCUAGCUAUGGUAAAGUAUUCUUUAAAGAAAAAAGCAAGGAUAUGUCCAAUUCAUCCCAGUGCUAAGAAUAUCUUUAAAAAAUACCAAAGUGCAAAGCCUCCUAUUCAUUAGACAAUAAAAAAUAAUUAUGUCCCCAGAUAAGGACUCAAAACACAAGCCCAGAAUAAAAUGUACGAAGGUUUAGGUUAAGGCAAGAGCCAGUUUCUAGACCAAUCAAAAUAGCUAUUUGGCUAUCUGGAAAUUUCUAUAUUACGGCUGAAAAACUUGACUGUAUUAAUGACACUAUUCUAAGCCUACAACAAUGCAAUCUUGGACUACAUUACCUACUAAAGCCAAGGCAAUUGCCCAAACUCAAAUACAUUUCAUGUGUAUUCACUGGCACUCAAAAUCACCUUAGGACCUGGAUUAUAUACCAUCUUCCUCAAAGAUGCUUUACUAUAAGGAUUCUGAAAAUCACCUAGAAAUAAGUUCUAAUUCAAAACACACCAUAAUCUGUGUGUGCACGCAUGUAUCUCCCCCCUUUUGCCUAUCCUCGAGGCAUGCAGAAGUUCCCAGAUACACCCAAAAAAAUUUAAUAUACAAAUUACUUGUAACACUAAGUAAUUCGAUCAAACGAAACUAAAGUUUUACGUAAUACCUGGUAAAUAAGCUGGGCCUGACAUCAUUAUAUUCUGUACUAGCUUUUUGUAGUAAGACAGCUCAUAACCGUCUCAAUCAUUCUACAUAUCCACAUAAAAACUUACUGCUAUUCUAUUACUAUCUGGCAAAAUGUUCUAUUUUCAUAGAUUCAACUGGAUGACUUCUAAAGUUAUCUUCAUAGAACUCUAAAAAAGUCCUCAAUUUUACCAGAACUGCUUAAACUAAAAUCUUGACAGUUCAAAGGUUACCACUGAAUAGACCCCUAGAAAGCUAUAUACUCCUGUAACAGAGAGCAUUAUUUGGAGGGGAAAAUACGCCAUGACUUUACAAGAAAUAACAAACUCCUGGAUUCUUCNCAUUUUUAUAAAUUAGAGGAGGAACAACUUCAGAUGAAUAACCACCACAACAUAGA